rnacentral:rRNA from 1 species
CCUACGGGGGGCUGCAGUAGGGAAUUUUCGUCAAUGGGCGCAAGCCUGAACGAGCCAAGUAGCGUGAAGGAUGACUGCCCUACGGGUUGUAAACUUCUUUUAUAAAGGAAUAAAGUGAGGCACGUGUGCCUUUUUGUAUGUACUUUAUGAAUAAGGAUCGGCUAACUCCGUGCCAGCAGCCGCGGUAAUACGGAGGAUCCGAGCGUUAUCCGGAUUUAUUGGGUUUAAAGGGAGCGUAGAUGGGUUGUUAAGUCAGUUGUGAAAGUUUGCGGCUCAACCGUAAAAUUGCAAUUGAUACUGGCAGCCUUGAGUACAGUUGAGGUAGGCGGAAUUCGUGGUGUAGCGGUGAAAUGCUUAGAUAUCACGAAGAACUCCGAUUGCGAAGGCAGCUUACUAAACUGCCACUGACAUUGAUGCUCGAAAGUGUGGGUAUCAAACAGGAUUAGAUACCCGGGUAGUC